AUUGAACGCUGGCGGCAGGCCUAACACAUGCAAGUCGAGCGGAUGAAGGGAGCUUGCUCCUGGAUUCAGCGGCGGACGGGUGAGUAAUGCCUAGGAAUCUGCCUGGUAGUGGGGGAUAACGUCCGGAAACGGGCGCUAAUACCGCAUACGUCCUGAGGGAGAAAGUGGGGGAUCUUCGGACCUCACGCUAUCAGAUGAGCCUAGGUCGGAUUAGCUAGUUGGUGGGGUAAAGGCCUACCAAGGCGACGAUCCGUAACUGGUCUGAGAGGAUGAUCAGUCACACUGGAACUGAGACACGGUCCAGACUCCUACGGGAGGCAGCAGGGGGGAAUAUUGGACAAUGGGCGAAAGCCUGAUCCAGCCAUGCCGCGGGUGUGAAGAAGGUCUUCGGAUUGUAAAGCACUUUAAGUUGGGAGGAAGGGCAGUAAGUUAAUACCUUGCUGUUUUGACGUUACCAACAGAAUAAGCACCGGCUAACUUCGU
rnacentral:rRNA from 1 species